AAAAAACUAAUAACCCCAAACCCAAUAUCCCUGCAUCCUAAUAACCCUAAAACUUGGCCAAAAGCUUCGCGAGACUCUCUCACUCUCCACUCUUACCAUCAUUCUCAUCUAUGCCAUUUCUUCAGUACUUCACCCAGAAAGAAAAACAAGAUACUACUAAUAAUAAAACCCUAAAUCCCCGAAUCCAAUUCAACAAAACCCUAAUUUACCCCUCCGAUUCUCGCAUCUCCAUGGUGUGAAGUGCGAACUCUGGCGUAUUCAAUUGCUCCCACAAUAAACGAUUUGAAGAAUGUCACAAAACGACCGCCCGGAGGCGCCGUCCCCGGCGACGGCCGCAAACGGCUCUACAGCGGCGAAGGAGGAGAAUCCAACUGCGAGGGCAUUGGUUUCUUCGAGCAAGGCUGAGGCUGAAUCUGAACAAGGAGCACAAAGCGGAGGAGUACGAAGACUUGCAAUUGAUGUAUUGCCCAGCGGUUUUCACCGCACUGGAGAGGUACCUUCUGCCAAACAUGCUCAAUGCUCGUCGCGAACACAAGUUAAUUUCAAUUGAGGCUGGUAAACUGCAGCAAAGUAAACCUUAGGAUUCCUUAAAAUGAACAGAUUUCUCCAACUGAAAUUCGCGGUGCGCUUGGAUCUAAUCAACUUCUUCCGAGAAUUUAUAUCGCUUUUGUGUUGUUGGUCGGAAUUCUUCUGUUUAGUUCUCUUUUCGUGAACGUGUCUUGAAUCUGGUCACAUUUGGAAGCCCCUUCUUUCACUGAUUUCUCCAACUGAAAUUCGCGGUGCGCUUGGAUCUGUUAAUCAACUUUUAAUAUGUAGUGGGAUUCUUGCAGCAUUAGUAGCCGGCUUGCCUCUUGCAGGAAAUCCUAUAUGACAAUGUUUAGAAUUUUGGUUAUGCAUGACUUAACAGCAGCAAGUCAAGGUUCUUCUGAACCUGAAGCAAGAUGAUUUGAUCUUUUUAGUAGCCGGUAUCGGAAAGUUGUCAGUGUUAGAGCAGCACUUUUCUUGUUCUAGCAGUUUGCCGCAUCAAUGGAAGAUUUGGAACCCUUACGGCCGUUCCAACACACCGUAUGGUUAUGAAAAUUCAACUGCCUCUUGUCUUUGCAUUCUACAAAUUCCUUAUUCAAAUUGAUAUAGAGUGAGAAACAUAAAAGGAACAAUGAGAUUUGCUACAAGAAAGCGGGACUUAUCAUGCAGCAGUUUGAAGUGAUGUAUAUUUAGAAGCCUGUGUCGAGUUGAGCAGAAAUCAGUGAGAAGCUCCGUUUCAAUGUUCAAAGACUUUCCAGAUUUAGGAAGAAGAAUGCAAGAACAAAGGCAGCUGUUGCACGUAGCUUUUGCAAAGCGAUCUAUGUUUAUGACCAGGACAUACAUGUUCAUACGUUACGACCGUAAGGAUUCUAUACAGUACUUCAACACUUUUUAUCUUAAAUUUUUAUGAAAAUAGGAAUAAGUAUCUGCCCUUAAUUGCUUCUCCAUGAUUCAUUCUUAUUUUUCCAGCCCUGCAAUACCCUUUAGACUUGAAUAUGACCUAACUUUGGCAAUUUACAAUAUUUCUUUGGCUAUUUAUUUUUUAUGAUAAGAAUUGUAUGCUGUUCACUUUAAUCUCAAUUAUUGAUUUCUCUCUUCUCUUGUUUUGGUUCACAUUUCAGUUCAGUUCCUGUGCACUGUGUUGUUUUUUUCCUUAUUAAUCAAGGCAAUCAAGUUUAGGUAUCUAGCUUACUUUAAUUACAUAAAUUGGCUUAUUUUCUUAAUUUUUCUUUUUCGUUUCCUUGGACAUAAGUGAUAUUAAGUGACCUGGUAUUUGCUUGUGGAGGCAAAAGAAUAACUGAAAAUCUGCUGGAGGAGUUCUGGUAAAAAUGUUUACAAAUGUUCUAGAAACAAUUAUGUAUGAUCUAACGGAAGGAAGUUUAAGAGGGCUAAAGGAAGGAGGAACAACAAAGGACUUAGGAUUUAAGCUGUAUUGUUUCUGUAUUUUUUUUUUCAGUUUUUAGUUUUGGAAUUUGAACUUGAGAUUUAUUUUGUAUUGGAGUAUUAGUUUUUUAAUGUAUAAAAUAAUUAUAGCAAAAAUUAUAUAUGUCACUAAUUAUUGUUUGA